UACGGGGGUAGCAAACGUUAUCCGGAAUUAUUGGGCGUAAAGAGAUGCGUAGGCGUCUUCUUAAGUCAUGGGUGAAAGCCUGCAGCUUACCUGCAGAACUGCCCGUGAUACUGGGAGGAUUGAAGAAAUCAGAGGAAAGCAGAAUUCACCGAGGAGAGGUAAAUUCGUAGAUACGGUGAGGAAUAACCAAUGGCGAAGGCAGCUUUCUGGGAUUUCUUGACGCUGAGGCUCGAAAGCGUGGGGAUCAAAACGGA
rnacentral:rRNA from 1 species